UACGUAGGGGGCAAGCGUUAUCCGGAUUUACUGGGUGUAAAGGGAGCGUAGACGGCAAGGCAAGUCUGAUGUGAAAACCCAGGGCUUAACCCUGGGACUGCAUUGGAAACUGUCUGGCUCGAGUGCCGGAGAGGUAAGCGGAAUUCCUAGUGUAGCGGUGAAAUGCGUAGAUAUUAGGAAGAACACCAGUGGCGAAGGCAGCUUACUGGACGGUAACUGACGUUGAGGCUCGAAAGCGUGGGGAGCAAACAGG
rnacentral:rRNA from 1 species